rnacentral:rRNA from 1 species
CAAUAGCGUAUAUUAAAGUUGUUGCAGUUAAAAAGCUCGUAGUUGAAUUUCUGGCGGGCGCGCCGGUCUUCCAAGUGUUGUACUGGGCGCAGUCCGCCAUCCUUGUGGAGAGGGCUCGCAUUGAGUUGCGUGUCGGAUCUGCAUCAUUUACUGUGAAAAAAUUAGAGUGUUUAAAGCAGGCUGUCGCUUGAGUACAUUAGCAUGGAAUAAUAAGAUAGGACUUCGGUCUAUUUUGUUGGUUGCGAACCGAGGUAAUGAUUAAUAGGGAUAGUUGGGGGUAUUCAUAUUUAAUUGUCAGAGGUGAAAUUCUUGGAUUUAUGAAAGAUGAACAACUGCGAAAGCAUUUACCAAGGAUGUUUUCAUUAA